UACACUCCUGCGGGAGGCAGCAGUGGGGAAUAUUGGACAAUGGGCGCAAGCCUGAUCCAGCCAUGCCGCGUGAGUGAUGAAGGCCCUAGGGUUGUAAAGCUCUUUCACCGGAGAAGAUAAUGACGGUAUCCGGAGAAGAAGCCCCGGCUAACUUCGUGCCAGCAGCCGCGGUAAUACGAAGGGGGCUAGCGUUGUUCGGAAUUACUGGGCGUAAAGCGCACGUAGGCGGAUCGAUCAGUCAGGGGUGAAAUCCCAGGGCUCAACCCUGGAACUGCCUUUGAUACUGUCGAUCUGGAGUAUGGAAGAGGUGAGUGGAAUUCCGAGUGUAGAGGUGAAAUUCGUAGAUAUUCGGAGGAACACCAGUGGCGAAGGCGGCUCACUGGUCCAUUACUGACGCUGAGGUGCGAAAGCGUGGGGAGCAAACAGGAUUAGAUACCCCUGUAGUCCCAUGAU
rnacentral:rRNA from 1 species